AGUUUGAUCAUGGCUACGAGAACGAACGCUGGCGGCAGGCCUAACACAUGCAAGUCGAACGCCGUAGCAAUACGGAGUGGCAGACGGGUGAGUAACGCGUGGGAACCUACCUUACGGUCGGGAAUAGCUCAGGGAAACUUGGGGUAAUACCGGAUACGCCCUUACGGGGAAAGAUUUAUCGCCGUUAGAUGGGCCCGCGUAGGAUUAGCUAGUUGGUGAGGUAAUGGCUCACCAAGGCGACGAUCUGUAGCUGGUCUGAGAGGAUGAUCAGCCACACUGGGACUGAGAUACGGCCCAGACUCCUACGGGAGGCAGCAGUGGGGAAUAUUGGACAAUGGGGGCAACCCUGAUCCAGCAAUGCCGCGUGAGUGAUGAAGGCCUUAGGGUUGUAAAGCUCUUUUACCAGGGACGAUGAUGACGGUACCUGGAGAAUAAGCCCCGGCUAACUUCGUG
rnacentral:rRNA from 1 species